GAUGAAGAACGCAGCGAAAUGCGAUAAGUAAUGUGAAUUGCAGAAUUCAGUGAAUCAUCGAAUCUUUGAACGCACAUUGCGCCCCUUGGUAUUCCGAGGGGCAUGCCUGUUCGAGCGUCAUUAUAACCCCUCAAGCUCAGCUUGGAGUUGGGGCCUGCUGCACUGGCAGCCCUUAAAAUCAGUGGCGGCGCCAUCUGGCUCUAAGCGUAGUAAUUCUUCUCGCUAUGGAGUCCUGGUGGAUGCUUGCCAUCAACCCCCAAUUUUUCUAUGGUUGACCUCGGAUCAGGUAGGGAUACCCGCUGAACUUAAGCAUAUCAAUAAGCGGAGGA
rnacentral:misc_RNA from 1 species